rnacentral:rRNA from 1 species
GUGUCAGCCGCCGCGGUAAUACGGAGGGUGCAAGCGUUAUCCGGAUUCACUGGGUUUAAAGGGUGCGUAGGUGGGUUGGUAAGUCAGUGGUGAAAUCUCCAGGCUUAACUUGGAAACUGCCAUUGAUACUAUCAAUCUUGAAUACCGUGGAGGUCAGCGGAAUAUGUCAUGUAGCGGUGAAAUGCUUAGAUAUGACAUAGAACACCAAUUGCGAAGGCAGCUGGCUACACGAAUAUUGACACUGAUGCACGAAAGCGUGGGGAUCAAACAGGAUUAGAUACCCCGGUAGUCC